CGCGGGAUAGAGCAGUUGGUAGCUCGUCGGGCUCAUAACCCGGAGGUCGGUGGUUCGAGUCCGCCUCCCGCUA
rnacentral:tRNA from 1 species